GAAAGAAAGCUCCAGAAAACAUCUGUGGCUGCUGGCUUUCUCAUGCCUCCCAUUGUUGGGAGACCACGGACGUCGGUGGAGGAGGGAAGUUCUGUCACCUGUUUGGAAGCUGAAGCUGGCAACUCUGACUGGCUUGUGACAGCUGCGAGAGUCUCUAGCUUGGUGCCAGAAGAGCGAGGAGAAGAGGCUUGUGUGGUGAGCGUGGAUGAUGGAGGUGACCCUGGAGGAGAGAGGUCUGUUCUUAGUGCUGUCAUGAUGAGAGGUCUUGUUUGGAACAGAGUCUCAGUGGGGUCCUUGGCAAGAUCCAGGGAGGCGCUAUGUCCACUUCCUUGGUAAAGCGAUGACGAGAAGUCCACAUGCGCCCUGGUCCUACUGUGUGCCUUGGGCAGGGGUGUCUGGGGUAGCUUCGGCAAGGUCGCGUUGUCAGGAGGCCGUCCCAGCACGUUCUUGAGUCUGUCCGCUGCUGAGGAAGACUUGACUUCCAAGAAAGGCCAUGUUGGUGAAAUUGGUAACAAUUUCCCAAGGGGAAAGGACUCUGAGGUCGGAGUGACAUGAAUCUGUAGAUUGUCUGUCCCUGUGAAGGAAAGCAUCCACAUGAGAUGUGGGAUCAGGAUGCGGCUGCAGUGGGCGGGCGCUGGAGGCAAGGAGCAGGCAAGACAGGACAGGGAGCCAAGACCCAAAAGAGUUCAACCGCUAGACUAGCCGCGGUCACAGAGUCACACACGAUCACCCGUGAAGCUCACACACUCUGACUCCAGAUCCCCAGGCUCUUGGCACCCCAUGACAAAGAGUGAAUGAACUCUGUGUCUGGGCUUGGGGAUGCUCUACCCUCCUAGAGCGACCUGACCAGAUGGAGUCCACACAAAGCUACCUCUUCUUCCAAGUAUGAAGCUCUCUCUUGCUUUGCUGCUGCCUCGGCAAGCAUUACCCAGCAUAGCUCUAAAUUAUCGAGACCCGUCAGCCCUUCAUUCCCAGAAGGCCAAAAGAAAUGGAUUAAAAGCCAUCACUGUGCUGGAACAUCCGACCCACACUUUAAUAUAAGACACCCACUUAUGCGCUUUGCAAUCUUUUGCAAGGAGCGUAAGUUCUAAAGUUUGGCGCCCAGAAUCUUCCUGCCCAAGAUGAAUUCUCCUGGGCCUUUUUAAAACAAAAUGCACCAGUUAAUAGAACCCGACUGCCAUUGCUUGAAGGAAUGCUAGCCGAGGAGAAAGCUCUGCUUACUGAAUCAACAGAAGCAUUGCAACUUUCAAAGCUCGUCCACAGCUAUUUUCUGUUUUAAAAACUUUAUUGCUUUCAAACCAUUUGUGAAAUGGCUCUUAAAAUAAAGCUGGUCCUUUCCCACAGACA
rnacentral:lncRNA from 1 species